UAGGGCGGGUGCAAGCGUUAAUCGGAAUUACUGGGCGUAAAGCGUGCGUAGGCGGCUGCUUUAGUCAGAUGUGAAAGCCCCGGGCUUAACCUGGGAACGGCAUUUGAUACUGGGCAGCUCGAGUUGAGUAGAGGAGAGGGGAAUUUCCGGUGUAGCGGUGAAAUGCGUAGAGAUCGGAAGGAACACCAGUGGCGAAGGCGCCUCUCUGGACUCAAACUGACGCUGAGGUACGAAAGCGUGGGUAGCAAACAGG
rnacentral:rRNA from 1 species